ensembl:misc_RNA RNase_MRP RNase MRP
GAUCGUGCUGAAGGCCUGUUUCCUAGGCUACAUACGGAGGACUAGUUCCUUGUUCUUUCCGCCUAGGGGAAAGUCCCCGGACCUUGGGGCAGAAAGUGCCGCGUGCAUGCGCACGUAGACAUUCCUCCGUUUCUCUCUCUUUAAAACCCGCCAAGAAGCGGAUUUCGCUGAGCGGUGUGAAGCGGAGGCGUCGUCCGUCAAAUGCUCUAGUUACGCAGGCAGUGCGUGUCUCAGCGCGCCAACCACACGGGGCUCAUUCUCAGCGCGGU